UACGUAGGGUGCGAGCGUUGUCCGGAAUUAUUGGGCGUAAAGGGCUCGUAGGCGGUUUGUUGCGUCAGGAGUGAAAGCCCGAGGCUCAACCUCGGGUCUGCAGUGGGUACGGGCAGACUAGAGUGCGGUAGGGGAGAUUGGAACUCCUGGUGUAGCGGUGGAAUGCGCAGAUAUCAGGAAGAACACCGAUGGCGAAGGCAGAUCUCUGGGCCGUUACUGACGCUGAGGAGCGAAAGCAUGGGGAGCGAACAGG
rnacentral:rRNA from 1 species